ensembl:lncRNA
AUGAACAUGACGUGCAUAACUUUGUGACACGUAUAAAGACUUGAAUUUUUGUUCAGAGAUGUUCAAACUGUGUGCGUGCAUGUUCCGUGUACAAUGUUUGUACACCUCAGAGAAAACAUUUACCCAGUAAUUUAAACUGUAAAUAGUACAAAUUUUAGUCAGUCACCUGCCUGCCCACAUUCCUGACCUGCUUUGAUAGUGAGGGAAACACCUAUGAAUACGUCAUAUCAGUGCUGUGCACGCGCUGUCCGCACGUCGCGCAAACGUUGUGUUACGGAGAUUUUGUACGAAAGGUGAGCCGGAGUCAGGAGCCGAAGCGCUGGAGUGAUUUCCUCUCUGAGCACAAGUAAGAUUCAACAUUUUCAUUCUUCUUCUCAAGUUCCGAGGUGACUGGCCGGUUCCAGCACUUAAUUAAAGGUGACUUGAAAAUGUCAGGGCAUUACUCUCCUUCGGGAAAGCAUUUACUGGUCUGCUUAGGAUUCGAUUGCGAUUUAAUGUUGCCGGUGUGAGCUGUAGUCUGGAUGUGUGCACGCCCAGGUGAUCUCUGUAAAGUCUAAUCAGUUUCCCGUAGGCUACGUCAGGUGGAACUUAUCUAGAAAAUAAUCACUAAAUGGUUAUGUGGGUAAAAAAAAAAAAAAAAUGACAAUGCACUUGAUUUACGUUGAUUUGAAAACGACAUACCCUGUCAUAAAAAAGUCUACCAUGGCAACCACAGACUUUGAAAAACACUAAUGGUUCCUACUGAAAAAAAAAAAAAAAACAGGAUGCAUGAAUUAUUAAAUCACUAUAAGUAGACUAUAAGUGUGUGUGAGAGUGAAAAAGUGUGUGUAUAAUUACCUGUUCUCCGGGUAAAAUGAUAUAUUCAGAGGGAAAUAAUCCGUUUGCUGGGUCCUUGACUGUCAUAGUAUCCACAGUGGCUGAGAAGUUUUAAGGUCAUUUGCGUGAUCGAUAUGGAGAAGUGUCAGUUGAUAUGGCUUGACUGAGCAGAAAUCUAGCUCUCGGAGAUCAAAUAGUUUCAGCAACUUUCGUACCUGAAUGAAUCAGUGUUUUGAAAUAAAUCAAUGAAGUGAUUGAUUCAAUGACUCACUCGUAAAGCCACUCCUUGUUCAUAAAUUAAUCAGUAUAAUCGGUUCAGUGAAUGGUUCAAUGACUCAUUUAUAAAAGAUAGUCACUUGUCGCCACCUACAGGCUUAACGAUGUAACAACGACGUGAUACAAAGGGUGCUAGUGGUUGGUCCUAUCAGCACUCGUGAAACACUUGUCGUCCAAUCAGAUACGAGACCUGGAAUAUUCCAGCCCUGCGUCCCAUGUGCAUAGACUGUUUUAACGGCAACAACAUAAACAAACGUUACUGCGCAUGCUCACUUUUGUGGCCCUAACUUAACUUCCGGUAGACUUUCAAAAUCAAUAACAACAGCUAAUCCGAGUUAACGGCGCUGAGGGAAGUUUGCGAGUGAAGGGCAUAAAAAACGGACUGGAACACAGCCAUCGAGUAGAUUAUUUUUGAUAACGAGCAAAAUAUGUUUGCUGUGUAGAUGGACUUAAUGAAAAUGCAAAAAUUCGUUCUCUGCCAGCAGGAGGUGCUUUAACCCCUUAACUAUCACNCCUAACUUAACUUCCGGUAGACUUUCAAAAUCAAUAACAACAGCUAAUCCGAGUUAACGGCGCUGAGGGAAGUUUGCGAGUGAAGGUCAUAAAAAACGGACUGGAACACAGCCAUCGAGUAGAUUAUUUUUGAUAACGAGCAAAAUAUGUUUGCUGUGUAGAUGGACUUAAUGAAAAUGCAAAAAUUCGUUCUCUGCCAGCAGGAGGUGCUUUAAAGCGGGAGAAACAGACAGACCGGAAGUUAACUUCGGUCCAGGCGCGUGCGCCCUAAUCUGCCCUAAAUAGUAAAUUACUAAUAUCACAUAGAAUUUAGGAUGGAUAGUAAGCACAUUGGGACUCAGCCAAUAUUUAGUUGACGACAGCCAUGUUGAAUUGGUGUUCUUAAAAUAAUAAUAAUAAUUAUCGGUGAUGGUCUGUUAUAUUAGCCUACACAAUGAAUGUAAAAACUUUAAUUUAUCGAACGGUCUAACCCAAAAGGCUAUAGGCUAGACAUAUUUGUUUGUGAAAACAUUUUGAACGUUUACAUUUUUACAGUUCCACACAUUUUUCUGUUUCAUAAAUGUUUAGCAGCUAAAACGGUCAAACCCACGCUCGUACAAAUCUAUGGAGUAACGUAAGCUAAAAAGUGACAACUAGCCCCGUUUCGCGUUUAUAGCCCAUUUAACCGAUUUGCGUCUCUGUGUAAAUCAUUCAGGUAUAACUCAGCCGUUUAUAAAAACAGGCUACACGUUCUGUGAGUUCAAAACAUCAUUGAACAGAAUGAGAUAAGCCCGCGUUCAACUGGUGUUGCUUCAUGAAC